rnacentral:rRNA from 1 species
ACAGCAGCAGCCACGGUAAUACAGAGGGUGCGAGCGUUAAUCGGAUUUACUGGGCGUAAAGCGUGCGUAGGCGGCUUCUUAAGUCGGAUGUGAAAUCCCUGAGCUUAACUUAGGAAUUGCAUUCGAUACUGGGAAGCUAGAGUAUGGGAGAGGAUGGUAGAAUUCCAGGUGUAGCGGUGAAAUGCGUAGAGAUCUGGAGGAAUACCGAUGGCGAAGGCAGCCAUCUGGCCUAAUACUGACGCUGAGGUACGAAAGCAUGGGGAGCAAACAGGAUUAGAUACCCCGGUAGUCCCUGUCUCUUAUAC